GAUUGAGCAAUUUGUUUAAUGGACAAUGGAGACUGCAAAUGAGAAAGUUGGAGCCGGUGGAGCAGCGGACUACAGCAACACCAACACCAGGAGGUUGUGUUGUGUUUUGAGCAGGAUAACAGACGCACUACGACCAUAGGGCGCACCAGAUUAUCGGCACAGACUACAAAGGCGGACGCAUGGAGAUUUUCAGGAUUUAUGCAGAUCCCAAAUACAGAUCAGCAGGUACCAGAAGGUUGAGAUGAAAUUGUGUCCAUCAUGAUGAGCCACAGUGUAGUCCAGUGUCUUCCAGUGGCCCCCUUCUGUGCUGACAGCCCACCGCAGUGACACAAAUGAGCGAGAUUCUUCAAAGCUUUCUCUCUCUGUGCGGCCCCUCCAUGCCAUUCAUUCUUUUCUUCUCAAAUAUCGCCCGAUGAAUGACAGGAAAGGAUGGAUGGCCCUUAAAUGAGGCCGCUACCGACUUGUCCGCUGGGCUUCCUGCUCCAUCAGCACAUCCCCAAACAGAGACAGACAUAACA